UAAAAGUGGGGGAUGCGAUGAUCUGAUU
rnacentral:sRNA from 1 species